GGUGGCAGAGCCCAGCCACCAGGGUCUGCUCCAUGCCUGGUCCCUGGAGAGGCCCUCACCCUCUCUGCUUUCACCCAACCCGACUGACACGGAGUAGGAGGUGGGAAUCAUGCAGGCAGGGAGCUUAGGAAGCCUGGUUCAAGCACACACCUACACUUGAUGGCAGGGAAAUAAUUAUUUCCUGCAGAAUGGGCUGCAAAUGUAACAAACCCCCUGACCUUCAGUCUGAAGAGAGAGAACUAUCAACCACACAGAAGCAAAGAUCCAGAGAAAUACUGAGGGAUGCUACCAGACACUCAACCAGGGCCACUCUCCGAGAUUCCAGCCAGCCACACAGCAAAGAUGCUGGCCGGGGACACUGCCCCAAACCACCAGACAGAACCCCAAAGAAACAGCUCCACACACAGUGGAAGAUACACCAGAGACUGUUAGAAGGACCAUCAGACAAAGCCAAAGAGACAGGUAGAUGAAACCAGAUAACCAGCCAGAGAGGUGGUCAGAGAACAGCGACACAAUCAAAGGACCCACCAGAAACACUGUAAAGGACUCAGCUAGACCCAGGCAGAUACACUGCCGAAGGACGAGCAAGGAGCACAGGCAGUGAAGCCGUCGGCGACAAAGCCAGAGAGCUAAGACACUGUCAGAAACAGUGCCAGAGAAACCGUCUGACACACAAGCAGAGAAAUACCAGAGAAACUGAUAGACGCAAACAGGCGUACACCCAGAAAAACAGCUUGAGAGAAGAGCCAGAGCCACAGCCAGAUGCUCAGUCAGGAAGUAUCCACACCACUCCAAACACUGCCAGAGACACUGUCAGACACACAGUCAGACACACUGCCAGAGACACCGUUAUAAAGACUGCCAGAGAAACAGCCAGACACACAGCCAGAAAAACUGACAGAGACGCAGUGCCAGAUAUACCCCGAGAAAGUGCCAGAGACUCAGCUCCAGACAGUGCAGACAUAGCAUAACAGAGACAAAUGUGGGUAUCAGCCUGAAGCAGCUGCGGAGAGGCUGGAGAGCAAUGAACUUCCUGGGGCUUCCUGUGGGAGAGGGCUCCUGCCUGCCUUUUGCUACCCUUGACCCUCUCCAGGAAAGUCCCCUCCUCUGAGCCUGCUUUUCCUUUCCUCCCUGUCACAGCCACAGGUGCCCUGACUGCCCCUCCCUGGCACAGUAAAUCUCUCUGUGUCCUAAGUGGCCCCAGCUACCCUUUGCGCAUCAGUGACUCCUGGAGCCUUAGCUACCACUUGGCCUGGCUCCUUCUGACCCUCAGCCCCUCACCACUCUUCAGCUACUCCUCAGGCCUAGGAGGUUAAGACAAUGGCCAAAGUUACACAGCCAGCAAGCCGUGCAGCCAGGAAAUGAACCCAGGACUGCCUGAAUUCAGAGCUGGUGUAAGAGAGAGAAAACGAGACCAGCAGCCAGAGGCCUACCUGGUUCCCCAACCUCAGCCCUGGCCAGUCGCCCUCACACCCUCCCCCACUGCCUCUGCCAUCUGUCCAUGUCUUUCUCCUCACAGCCAGGAAGAUCCUCCGCCUCAGUGCCAGGCCACUGCCCACCACAUGGGAGCAGGAACCAGGGCAUGGGCAGGCAGAAGAGCAGGCGGAGUGGCUGAGCUCCUGUCCCGGCUCCCUAAGGUGUUCCCAGUUUGCGGAGGAUUACGUGCCCUCUCAGCCCAGUAGCACACUUUCCAAAUAAGCCAUCAGACUCCUCCCAAGAUCCUGAAACUGAGGCUCAGAGAGCAGAAGCAGCUUGGCCAAAGUCAUACAACUGGUAGUUGGUAAAGGAGCUGGCCUUGAACUCAGGGAUAUCUUGAAAGCCACUGUUGCUUCUAUGGACUCUAGCCAUUCAAAAGACCCCUCACCUUCUAUAAGACCCCAGGAGAUCCUCAGGGUCCAACUGCUCCCUUGAAAACAGGUCCCAGAUAUAUCUGCCAAAGGUAUGAUUAGGUGCCUAAACACAUACCAUGAGAAAGGGAUUCCAUGUCUUCCAAUCCUGCCCAGAGAUGCAGAGACACCACCACCCAGGGAGAGAUAGCCAGAAACUAAAAUAAGAUGUUAGAGACAGGUGGUUGAUAGUGACAGAUACAGCCACACCAAGACAGGCUCAAAGGGAGGAAGACUGAGGGGAAGCCAGAGACAGAGAGGGACACAUUAGGCCAAAGAAUGAGAGAGAUAGCUGGAAAAGGAGACAAUAGGAGUAGAGGAGGGUACAGGCUGACAUGAAAAAACACCGACAGAUACACUCCAGUAUGCAGACAGACACAUAUAGACCCAUCUGACCUUCACAAGAAACAGACUGUGAAAGCAAGCAAGGCUCAGGCUGUGUGUGGUGUGCGUAUGUGUGUGUGCGUAUUGUGGGGGGAGCAUGCAGAGUCUGUAUAGCUACGCACAUUACACCAGCUGCUUCCAGCAAUUUCAUCUGAUUAAUAAUAAAUGCCCCAUAAUUACAGCCG
rnacentral:lncRNA from 1 species